rnacentral:rRNA from 1 species
UACGGAGGGUGCAAGCGUUAAUCGGAAUUACUGGGCGUAAAGCGUGCGCAGGCGGUUAUGUAAGACAGGUGUGAAAUCCCCGGGCUUAACCUGGGAACUGCAUUUGUGACUGCAUCGCUAGAGUACGGCAGAGGGGGAUGGAAUUCCGCGUGUAGCAGUGAAAUGCGUAGAUAUGCGGAGGAACACCAGUGGCGAAGGCGAGUCCCUGGACGAUACCUGACACUGAGGCACGAAAGCCAAGGGAGCAAACAGG